rnacentral:rRNA from 1 species
AGUGAACGCUGGCGGCGUGCCUAAUACAUGCAAGUCGAACGGAGAGGCGCACGGGUGAGUAAUAUAUAGCUAAUAUGCCCCUUGCUGGGGGACAACAGUUAGAAAUGACUGCUAAUACUCCAUAGCAAGGGAUGGGACUAUAUCGUAUAAGCUAGUCGGGGGGGUAACGGCCUACCCAGGCUAUGACGCGUAACUGGUCUGAGAGGAUGAUCAGUAACCUUGGACGGGAGACACGGUCCAAACACCUUCGUGAGUGGGCAGUAGGGAAUAGUACGCAAUGGGGGUAACCCUGACGCGGCAACGCGUCGUGGAGUAUGUCCCUUUUCGGAGCGUAAAGUCAUUUUGUUACCGAAGCGGUACCUAACGAAUAAGCACCGGCUAACUCCGUGCCAGCAGCCGCGGUAAUUC